rnacentral:rRNA from 1 species
CUAGGAAUCUUGGGAAUGGGCGAAAGCCUGACCCAGCAACGCCGCGUGGGCGAUGAAGGCCUUCGGGUUGUAAAGCCCUUUUGCAGGGGACGAUUAUGACGGUACCUUGCGAAUAAGCCACGGCUAACUACGUGCCAGCAGCCGCGGUAAUACGUAGGUGGCAAGCGUUGUCCGGAUUUACUGGGCGUAAAGGGCGUGCAGGCGGUUUGUUAAGUCUAGGGUGAAAGCUCCCGGCUCAACUGGGAGAGGU